UAACCACUCAAGCUCUCUCGCUUGGUAUUGGAGUUCGCGGUUUCGCGGCCCCUAAAAUCAGUGGCGGUGCCUGUCGGCUCUACGCGUAGUAAUACUCCUCGCGAUUGAGUCCGGUAGGUCUACUUGCCAGCAACCCCCAAUUUUUACA
rnacentral:misc_RNA from 1 species